CCUACGGGAGGCAGCAGUGGGGAAUUUUGGACAAUGGGCGCAAGCCUGAUCCAGCCAUUCCGCGUGAGUGAAGAAGGCCUUCGGGUUGUAAAGCUCUUUCGCAAGGGAAGAAACGAUUUAGGUGAAUAAUCUAAGUUAAUGACGGUACCUUGAUAAGAAGCACCGGCUAACUACGUGCCAGCAGCCGCGGUAAUACGUAGGGUGCAAGCGUUAAUCGGAAUUACUGGGCGUAAAGCGUGCGCAGGCUGUUUUGUAAGUCAGAUGUGAAAUCCCCGAGCUCAACUUGGGAACUGCGUUUGAAACUACAAGACUAGAAUAUGUCAGAGGGGGGUAGAAUUCCACGUGUAGCAGUGAAAUGCGUAGAGAUGUGGAGGAAUAUCAAUGGCGAAGGCAGCCCCCUGGGAUAAUAUUGACGCUCAUGCACGAAAGCGUGGGGAGCAAACAGGAUUAGAUACCCUGGUAGUCCACGCCCUAAACGAUGUCAACUAGUUGUUGGUAGAGUAAAAUCUAUGAGUAACGCAGCUAACGCGUGAAGUUGACCGCCUGGGGAGUACGAUCGCAAGNUUAAAACUCAAAGGAAUUGACCGGNNGAGAGNGCGAGGACGACGACGAGGGAGGAGG
rnacentral:rRNA from 1 species